rnacentral:rRNA from 1 species
AACCUACGGGGGGCAGCAGUGGGGAAUAUUGCACAAUGGGGGAAACCCUGAUGCAGCAACGCCGCGUGAGUGAAGAAGUCAUUCGUGAUGUAAAGCUCUAUCAGCAGGGAAGAAAAUGACGGUACCUGACUAAGAAGCCCCGGCUAACUACGUGCCAGCAGCCGCGGUAAUACGUAGGGGGCGAGCGUUAUCCGGAUUCACUGGGUGUAAAGGGAGCGUAGACGGCCGUGCAAGCCAGGAGUGAAAGCCCGGGGCCCAACCCCGGGACUGCUCUUGGAACUGAGCGGCUGGAGGGCGGGGGGGGG